GGCUACAGGAAUUUGUCAAGAAGCUACUGCUCCAGCUUCAGAAGAUCUUUUGAAGAUCUUUCAGAUCAGAUCCAGAUCUAAUUUUUGGAGCAAAAAUUUGCAAGGAGAAAAUGAUCUAGAUCCUACUCGAGUGGAUAGCGGUAGAGGCCAGGCGACUGCGUGGCUAUUUUUGAACCUCGGGCAUUGCUGCGAUCAUCUACAGAGUAAUCUAGUUACCCUAGAGGUAUUUCUCUAAUCCUUAAGUUUUAGAUUUAAUUUUAGAUUAAAUAUCAGAUAAUAAGAAUUAGAUCUAAUAGAUCUUAGAUUUAAAAUAUUAUAAGAUA
rnacentral:lncRNA from 1 species